UCUCCAGACUGGAAACGGUAGGGUAACAAAUGGUAAGUAGAGGAAGAGAAAGGCAUCCACUUCGUUCGAGAGAACAAGUGGAAUAGGACCUGGCGACACUUGGAAUCUCCAAUGGGCGCCAAAAAGUGAAAAGGAAGAAAUCCAGAACACAGUGGUAAUAAUGCAGGUAUGCGCACGAGUUGAACCUAAAUGCGGCAGACAAGAGGAAUCUCUACACUGAAACACUCGAACUACUUGCAUCAAACAUGGACUCACUGCAAUAUCUGUCUAAAUUUUUUCAGCUUUUCAUCUUUCAAAAAGAAAAAAUUCAAAAUCAUUACAAACAUUUUUGGCUCUACAAACGAAACUAAAUUUCCAGUCUAUACUUUUUUCAAAAGCUAAAAAAGGCACUAUCUAGGCAAACGCAUACAAAAUGUGUUCUGGUUGUAGCCCUUGCUGUAGUCCUUGCUGCUGCUCGCCAUGCGUCUGCCCCUGCAGGUACCUGAAGUGCACGGAUUUCUGCUGCCGUUGGCCAUGCCCAUGCAAGGCUCAUUGCUAUAAUACACCACCCAAGUGUUGCUGCUAAGCAGUAAUACUUGAAAUGCCGCAAUGGAGCUUGUCGUCAGAACUAAUUUUAGUCAAAUAUAUGGUAUACAAUGCUUUUGGAUUAAGAAGUUUUAAGUGAAAAUAAAGUAAAAUUUUGGAAAAAAA